AAAUUAGUUGUAAAUACCAUACCUAUUCUCCCACAGACAAGAUUAUUUCUUUCCCUUUAUCCUCGCUAACACGGAAAACAAAACCCCAAAUUCCCUCAAUUAGGGUUCACUCCAAUUUCAAUUCCGAAACCUUCCAUUCUUCCAAUCCUCCAAAUCCCAAAACUUCCCCUCUAACAGAGUCCUCAAAUCUGACACGGCGAGCUCUCGCGGCUCGCGAUCUCCGACACUGGCCAUGUGGAAAUUCCCACCCUCUCGCCACCGGUUCCUCGCAGCCGCGAUCACCGUCGUUGCACUUUGCAUGAUUCUACCAAUUUCGAUGGCGAGUCAGCAGCCACCGCUAAAAUUGUGCAUCCAAUCGACGCCGUCGUCGUGCCCCGUUAAGUGCUUCGUCGCCGACCCGGUGUGCGGCGCGGACGGCGUAACGUACUGGUGUGGUUGUGCUGAGGCAGCGUGCGCCGGCGUGGAGGUUGAGAGAAUGGGUCACUGUGUAGAGGGGAAUGGGGGAUCGGCACCGAUUCCUGGACAGGCUCUCCUCUUGGUGCACAUUGUUUGGCUCAUCUUGUUGGGGUUCUCCGUCUUGUUCGGUCUUUUUUAGUUUGACGGGGUUUGUGGCAGAAAAUUGGAAUUUCAAUCAAAGAUCCAUUGCAGCAGCUUAUUGAAUGGAUGUUUCCAGUAUUUCGGUUUGUAUUGACUACUGCCUGGAUUUGAAGAAAAGUACAAAGUGUCCCUCUAAAGGAAAUGGCAAUUCUCAAAUGGUUGUAGAAUCUGAAGGCAUCGCAAGAUAUCUCUUAAUUCAGAUCUUUUCUUGAAUA